AGAAUCAACGCUGGCGGCGUGCCUAACACAUGCAAGUCGAACGCGAAAGUCCCGCAAGGGAUGAGUAGAGUGGCAAACGGGUGAGUAACACGUGGGUGACCUGCCUUCGAGCGGGGGAUAACGUCCCGAAAGGGACGCUAAUACCGCAUGACAUCCUGCCUUUGAAGAGGUGGAGAUCAAAGCUGGGGAUCGCAAGACCUAGCACUUGAAGAGGGGCCCGCGUCUGAUUAGCUAGUUGGUGGGUAACGCUCACCAAGGCAACGAUCAGUA
rnacentral:rRNA from 1 species